rnacentral:rRNA from 1 species
CACGAGUUUGAUCAUGGCUCAGAACGAACGCUGGCGGCAGGCCUAACACAUGCAAGUCGAACGCCCCGCAAGGGAAGUGGCGGACGGGUGAGUAACACGUGGGAAUUUUCCUCAAGGUACGGAACAACUCAGGGAAACUUGGGCUAAUACCGUAUGAUGCAGAGAUGCCAAAGAUUUAUCGCCUUGGGAUAAGCCCGCGUCAGAUUAGGUAGUUGGUGGGGUAAUGGCCUACCAAGCCUGUGAUCUGUAGCUGGUCUGAGAGGACGAUCAGCCACAUUGGGACUGAGACACGGCCCAAACUCCUACGGGAGGCAGCAGCGGGGAACCUUGCGCAAUGGGCGAAAGCCUGACGCAGCCAUGCCGCGUGAAUGAUGAAGGUCUUAGGAUUGUAAAGUUCUUUAGCCUGUGACGAUGAUGACGGUAACAGGAGAAUAAGCCCCGGCUAACUUCGUG